rnacentral:lncRNA from 1 species
AAAUAAUAACAUAUUUAUGUACAUAUACACAUCUAAUAGACACAUUUUAUACAUAACUAGUGUAUAUUUUUUGUAUAUACUACUACUAACAACAACAACAACAUACCCAGUGCAGUGAGAUCUGGGGACGGUAAAGUGUACACAGUGAUACCACUUCCUUUGAAGAAGUAGAGAGGUUGUUUCCAACUAGCAGUUGUAAUUAUUUAACAGACAAAUAUGUAUGCAACUUUCUCAAGAAAGUAUGAGGAAUAAGUAGGAAUAGCAAUUAAAUUGUGGAUAUUACAUGAGCUAUUGAAGUGGCUAUACACAUAUGAUAAUUUUAUACAUAUA